GGAAAGCUUGCAGCAAAGGGGCUUCGCAUGAGGAAUGCACUAAGACAACUGAUUAAGUGCUGAAGUCACAGCCUAAGAAGAGAGAAGUGCUGAUGAACAAGCUGAAGGAGAUGAAGCACAUUUUGUUUGUCUGGCCCUACAAAGCAAAAUACACGUUCUGUCAUGCUGGGUACUGUACAGAGGUGCCAUGGGAGUAGAGUUGUCUCAGAAAAAUAUUGGCAGCCAUCGAAUUAUGUGAGGUCCUAGGGCUACAAGCUGCCACUCUGCAGUAGCUUUAGAAGCAAUCUACUGCUGCUAUUGGAUGUCCCAGCAACAUGUACUGGAAGAAGAACUACAGCCAGUGAAGUGGAAAUACUGGGUACCAGUGUAUUAACCUCAAACAGUUUUAGUUGAAGGCUUACUGCAUAACCAUCUUUGGUAGGCUGCAAGCCUAGGUUGUAAGCCAAGCAUAGACACUGAAGGAGGACAAAUAGUCAUCUCUUCUCAAUGUUAAGCCAGUAUAGCUUUCAAGAAGGAUAGGAAUUUUGUUUGCAAGAGGAGACGGGAUUUAACUAGCUGGGGUGUAAUACACAACAGUCUCAACUGGAAGCAAUCUGCAAUGGGUAUGCAGGAAUGGCCAGGCACAUCA